UAGAGAUUAAGUAGAACUUACUAAGCUAAGUAUCAGUUAUCACCCUACCCUUCUAAAGUUGGUUAUAUCACAAAAUAGGCAUAAAAUGAAACUAAUUGUAAAAAUAAAAUUGAGCAAAGCAUCAAAUAUGACAUGAAUUAAAAUGUAAUUCUAAACUAAGGAUUAAAAAUAGCAAGUAAAAGUUGAAACAAAAGUAGUAAGUAAAGUAAUAUAAUCAAAUUAACUAACAUAACUAACAU
rnacentral:lncRNA from 1 species